rnacentral:rRNA from 1 species
GACGAAGGGGGCUAGCGUUGUUCGGAAUUACUGGGCGUAAAGCGCGUGUAGGCGGUUGUCCAAGUUGGAUGUGAAAGCCUUGAGCUCAACUCAAGAAAUGCAUUCAGGACUGGAUGACUAGAGGACCGGAGAGGAUAGUGGAAUUCCCAGUGUAGUGGUGAAAUACGUAGAGAUUGGGAAGAACACCAGUGGCGAAGGCGGCUAUCUGGACGGUUUCUGACGCUAAGGCGCGAAAGCGUGGGGAGCAAACAGG